rnacentral:lncRNA from 1 species
CGUGAGCGGAAGAAGGAAGCGUGCUAACUUGCAGCCCACUGUACUGUUUCUUGCGGAUCUUUGCAGGGAUGCAGAAUAGCAGGGCACAGAUCUCCAAUCACUCCCUGCCCCUGCCUUAUCUAGUCUGCCCACACCACACCUCUGCCUGGCCCAGCCUGCUCUGGGGCUCCUGCUGGCAGAGCUAGCUCAGCACCUGCACAUAGGAGUUUCCUGUGGUGGGAACACUGCCUGUGGGGAGGCCUACCUGCUCUGUACCCUCUCACAGCUGCCUAGCUGAGGUAAAAGGGCCACAGUAAAAUGAUUAACUGGGCCAUUGGGGUCAAAUUCAGAGCUGAUGUAAGUUGGGUACUACUGCAAAUCCUCCAGUGGUAUCACAGUCACUGACUCCAGGUUUGGAUUUGAUCCUCCAGGUCUCACUUUACCCUAUCUAUAAAAAUGGGCAUUAUUAUUUAUUAUCUGUAUUACUGGACCAGAACCCCUUUGUGCUAGGUGCUGUACAAACACAGAGAUGGGAGGACAGUUCCCACACUACCUAAGGCUAUCAUUGCCGACAGAUGGGAUUUGAAAAGCCAAAGCAAAGAAAGGGUGUCUGUUCUCCUUUAAGCCAAAGCAGGCAGGGCUGCAAGGAGAUGCAUUCCAGGAACGGCUGCUCCCUGCCAGGCUCUGGGUUUUCCUUCCCGUUACACACUAAGGAGGAAUGUGCAGAGCUGCUUGCCGGCCCACCGCUGCCUGGGGGGCUGCAGCUAACUUCGAAAUGCCGUGCAAAGAGGCCAGAGGUUUUCAUAGCCAUCUAAGGUUUACUAUUUCUCCCGAGCAACAGUUUUCUCUACCCAGCAUCUACAAAGUAGCUCACCAAUCAGGCCUGGGAAUAGGCCCUUUGAUAUCCAGACAAGCUACCCAGGAGGAGGAGGAAGGGGAAGGCAGAGAUGGAGUGCUGUGAAAAAGUCUUCAGUACGCUUUGCCCUUUGAUCAGCACUGUGCAUUACCAAAGAGCCCUUGUCUCUACAUCCCACUAGCAACUAUUCUUCAAAGGGUGCUAAAGAAUCAGUGUCAACAUUGGUAAACAGGAGCCUGUUAUGUGAACGCAAUGGAAUCUCUAGCACUACUCUUUUCACUGGGGAUUGACAAGACGCACACAUGGUCCCUUUACACCAUGUUGGAACCUUUGACCCUCCACCCCACUAAAAAGAAAGCUAAUCAAGCUCUCGUUCAGCUUGAGGGAUCACUUACCGCCUCAUAGUUCCUGCUCGUCUUCCUUGCACCACCCAAAAAAGCACUAAACUCUGACAGCUAUUGCAGCAUAAUAAACCAGAGCCGAGAGGCUGCA